UUCUCUCGUUAAGCUUACCGGAUUCUCUACGACUUUUGACGACUGUCUUUCCCGCGAAUUAUACUUCGCCAGGUUUUCUUCGGUCUCGGCUAAUCUGAUUUUUAAUUCGGCUAAUUCCGAGUCCUUUGCCGACAGAUCCUUGAUGAGGUCGAUCGAUUCUUUUCUCAGAGGUUCUAAGUCAGCUCUGGCAGCGUAGAUUCUGUUGUUGACUAUGCUCACCCAGUGUUGUACUCUCGCCAUAAUGUCCAUGAACAUCAACUUCAAAUCGUUCUCGAAAUUUUCCCCCAAGUUUUUCAAAGCCUUUUCAGCUUCGUUUAAAUUUUUGAUCGCAUAGUCAAACAUCUCGUCUGUCUUCUUUUCCCUAAAUCCUGAGGAAUACAAAAGCAAAUUGGCCCAUCUUUUACGUGGGAAAUCCUGGAGGAUUCGGUUCCACCUAACGAACUACUGUCGCUUCGAUGUACAUUUUCCAGUGGACGGUCUCCAAAACUGUCGAUGGAAUGGACAUAAAAUUCGAUUUGAGUUCAGGAUGUCCAGCAUUUCUGUUGGCUUUGUCUACAAACCCUGGACCACGUUUAGGAGAUGAUAAUUACCAGCCUACAAAGGAACUCCACCUUGCAACCAGAACAUAGGACUCGUCGGUGAAUCUACAAAAUUGCUAAUGAGAUUCAUUGAUUGAAUGAGAUUACAUACAUCAUUCGUCAUAUACCUGUGUCAUUUCUGGAAUACUUAAAUUGUUAAAUCAGUUGAGAAAUUCUGUCAAUUUAUUGUAAAACAUAUUAUUUGUAAGGAAGAUUUUUUUGUGUGAAUGAAUCUAUCAUCUACGUGAUGAUCUGUUUCAAUUGAUUGUAUAAUGUUGAUUAAUUAUUAAAAAAAAAUUACUCUCGAAAGUAA